UACAGAGGGGGCAAGCGUUGUUCGGAAUUACUGGGCGUAAAGGGCGCGUAGGCGGCCUGCUAAGUCGAACGUGAAAUCCCUGGGCUCAACCCAGGAACUGCGUCCGAUACUGGUUGGCUUGAAUCCGGGAGAGGGACGUGGAAUUCCAGGUGUAGCGGUGAAAUGCGUAGAUAUCAGGAAGAACACCCGUGGCGAAGGCGGCUCUCUGGGACGGUACUGACGCUGAGACGCGAAAGCGUGGGAGCGAACAGG
rnacentral:rRNA from 1 species